UACAUUGCCUAAAAAUAAUAAUAAUAAUAAUAAUAUAUGCCAUUUAGCAGACGCUUUUAUCCAAAGCGACUUACAGUCAUGUGUGCAUACAUUCUACGUAUGGGUGGUCCCGGGAAUCGAACCCACUACCCUGGCGUUACAAGCGCCAUGCUCUACCAACUGAGCCACAGAAGGACCACAAAAUAAAAUAUUGAUCACCCAUAUACGUCUUUUUCUGAAAAUCUUCCCCUGUGUAAGUCUCCCCAACUCUGCCCUUUUCAAACUACAGUAGGUCUAGCGCAUUGGCUGAUAUAGGCUAGUUAUACCGCUUGGGACAGGUUCUUGCGGUAGCGGGCGGGAGUCUGGACAGAAAGCCCAGCGGGUGUGGGCAGGUGCUGUAUGAAAAGCUGGGGGAAAUGGGGAGAAGGGGGAUGAAUAAAUCAAACCUCUACCAUACCGGACGAGAGAUAGAGGAGAGAGACAGAGGAGAGAGAAAAACGCUCGGCCUCUGUCCCAACAGGCAAAGCCCGAAAGAACAGUGUGUGUUGUACGGCUGUGACCUGACGAGCCAACAAUGUAAUUUUGCUUCGUCACUGCUGUUCUAAAAGCCCCCACAUUGGGAUGUCCCUACGGCUCUUAAAAACAAUGGUAUUCAAAUCCCUUCGAGUGACUGAGACUCCAUUUACAGGAAUUACUGCACACACACACACACACACACACACACACACACACACACACACACACACACACACACACACACACACACACACACACACACACACACACACACACACACACACACACACACACACACACACUGAGGAAGAGAACAUUAGCAAUAAAAAUUAAAGCUGUGGCGGUAGUCAGGCCCAGACAGAUAUUCACAGACCGGUAGUCAGGCCCAGACAGGUAUUCACAGACCGGUAGUCAGGCCCAGACAGGUAUUCACAGACCGGUAGUCAGGCCCAGACAGGUAUUCACAGACCGGUAGUCAGGCCCAGACAGGUAUUCACAGACCGGUAGUCAGGCCCAGACAGGUAUUCACAGACCGGUAGUCAGGCCCAGACAGGUAUUCACAGACCGGUAGUCAGGCCCAGACAGGUAUUCACAGACCGGUAGUCAGGCCCAGACAGGUAUUCACAGACCGGUAGUCAGGCCCAGACAGGUAUUCACAGACCGGUAGUCAGGCCCAGACAGGUAUUCACAGACCGGUAGUCAGGCCCAGACAGGUAUUCACAGACCGGUAGUCAGGCCCAGACAGGUAUUCACAGACCGGUAGUCAGGCCCAGACAGGUAUUCACAGACCGGUAGUCAGGCCCAGACAGGUAUUCACAGACCGGUAGUCAGGCCCAGACAGGUAUUCACAGACCGGUAGUCAGGCCCAGACAGGUAUUCACAGACCGGUAGUCAGGCCCAGACAGGUAUUCACAGACCGGUAGUCAGGCCCAGACAGGUAUUCACAGACCGGUAGUCAGGCCCAGACAGGUAUUCACAGACCGGUAGUCAGGCCCAGACAGGUAUUCACAGACCGGUAGUCAGGCCCAGACAGGUAUUCACAGACCGGUAGUCAGGCCCAGACAGGUAUUCACAGACUGGUAAUUCAGGUCCAGACAGGUAUUCACAGACCGGUAGUCAGGCCCAGACAGGUAUUCACAGACUGGUAAAUCAGGUCCAGACAGG